AGACACUUAGUUUAAGAAAAACCUUUGAUUUCGGCUCAAAAACUUGUGGUUAAAGUCCAUAAUUGUCUA
rnacentral:tRNA from 1 species